rnacentral:rRNA from 1 species
GACGAACGCUGGCGGCGUGCUUAACACAUGCAAGUCGAACGGUAAGGCCCUUCGGGGUACACGAGUGGCGAACGGGUGAGUAACACGUGGGUGAUCUGCCCUGCACUUCGGGAUAAGCCUGGGAAACUGGGUCUAAUACCGGAUAGGACCACUGCCUGCAUGGGUGGUGGUGGAAAGCUUUUGCGGUGUGGGAUGGGCCCGCGGCCGAUCAGCUUGUUGGUGGGGUGAUGGCCUACCAAGGCGACGACGGGUAGCCGGCCUGAGAGGGUGACCGGCCACACUGGGACUGAGAUACGUCUCAGACUCCUGCGGGAGGCAGCGGUGGGGUAUAUUGCACAAUCGGAGGAAGACUGAUGCAGCGACGCCGCGUGAGGGAUGACGGCCUUCGGGUUGUAAACCUCUUUCAGCACCGACGAAGCGCAAGUGACGGUAGGUGCAGAAGAAGGACCGGCCAACUACGUGCCAGCAGCCGCCGCCG